UACGGAGGGUGCAAGCGUUAAUCGGAAUUACUGGGCGUAAAGCGUGCGCAGGCGGCCCGUUAAGACAGGUGUGAAAUCCCUGGGCUCAACCUAGGAAUUGCGCUUGUGACUGGCGGGCUCGAGUACGGUAGAGGGGGGUGGAAUUCCUGGUGUAGCAGUGAAAUGCGUAGAGAUCAGGAGGAACACCAGUAGCGAAGGCGGCCAUCUGGCUGGUAACUGACGCUGAGGUGCGAGAGCGUAGGGAGCAAACAGG
rnacentral:rRNA from 1 species